UACGUAGGCAGCGAGCGUUGUUCGGAAUUACUGGGCGUAAAGAGUGUGUAGGCGGUGCUCUAAGUUCGGUGUGAAAUCUCCCGGCUUAACUGGGAGGUGCGCCGGAAACUGGAGUGCUCGAGCGUGGGAGAGGAAAGCGGAAGUCCUGGUGGUGAGCGGUGAAAGUGCGCAGAUAUCGGGAAGAACACCCGUGGCGAAGGCGG
rnacentral:rRNA from 1 species